rnacentral:tRNA from 1 species
GGGUGCGGAGCAAAGGGGGCGAGCGCUUCCCUCACGAGGAAGAGGCCGCAGGAGCGAAUCCUGCCGCACCCACCA